UACGUAGGUGGCAAGCGUUGUCCGGAUUUACUGGGCGUAAAGAGCGCGCAGGCGGUCGUUCAAGUCGAGUGUGAAAGCCCCCGGCUCAACUGGGGAGGGUCACUCGAUACUGAUCGACUCGAAGGCAGAAGAGGGAAGCGGAAUUCCCGGUGUAGUGGUGAAAUGCGUAGAUAUCGGGAGGAACACCGGUGGCGAAGGCGGCAUCCUGGACCGGUAUUGACACUGAGGCGCGAAAGCGUGGGGAGCGAUCCGG
rnacentral:rRNA from 1 species